rnacentral:rRNA from 1 species
AGUGAACGCUGGCGGUAGGCCUAACACAUGCAAGUCGAACGGCAGCACAGUAAGAGCUUGCUCUUACGGGUGGCGAGUGGCGGACGGGUGAGGAAUACAUCGGAAUCUACUUUUUCGUGGGGGAUAACGUAGGGGAACUUACGCUAAUACCGCAUACGACCUACGGGUGAAAGCAAGGGAUCUUUGGACCUUGCGCGAUUGAAUGAGCCGAUGUCGGAUUAGCUAGUUGGCGGGGUAAAGGCCCACCAAGGCGACGAUCCGUAGCUGGUCUGAGAGGAUGAUCAGCCACACUGGAACUGAGACACGGUCCAGACUCCUACGGGAGGCAGCAGUGGGGAAUAUUGGACAAUGGGCGCAAGCCUGAUCCAGCCAUACCGCGUGGGUGAAGAAGGCCUUCGGGUUGUAAAGCCCUUUUGUUGGGAAAGAAAAGCAGCAGGUUAAUACCCCGCUGUUCUGACGGUACCCAAAGAAUAAGCACCGGCUAACUUCGUG